AUCGCUUCUCGGCCUUUUCGCUAAGAUCAAGUGUAGUAUCUGUUUUUUUUGCAGAUGACACCA
rnacentral:snRNA from 1 species